rnacentral:rRNA from 1 species
AUUGAACGCUGGCGGAAUGCUUUACACAUGCAAGUCGAACGGUAACAGGUCUUCGGAUGCUGACGAGUGGCGAACGGGUGAGUAAUAUAUCGGAACGUGCCCAGUCGUGGGGGAUAACGUAGCGAAAGUUACGCUAAUACCGCAUACGAUCUAUGGAUGAAAGCGGGGGAUCGCAAGACCUCGCGCGAUUGGAGCGGCCGAUAUCAGAUUAGGUAGUUGGUGGGGUAAAGGCUCACCAAGCCAACGAUCUGUAGCUGGUCUGAGAGGACGAUCAGCCACACUGGAACUGAGACACGGUCCAGACUCCUACGGGAGGCAGCAGUGGGGAAUUUUGGACAAUGGACGCAAGUCUGAUCCAGCCAUUCCGCGUGCAGGAUGAAGGCCCUCGGGUUGUAAACUGCUUUUGUACAGAACGAAAAGGCUCUUCCUAAUACGAGGGGCUCAUGACGGUACUGUAAGAAUAAGCACCGGCUAACUACGUGA